rnacentral:rRNA from 1 species
AGUGAACGCUGGCGGUAGGCCUAACACAUGCAAGUCGAACGGCAGCACAGUAAGAGCUUGCUCUUACGGGUGGCGAGUGGCGGACGGGUGAGGAAUACAUCGGAAUCUACUUUUUCGUGGGGGAUAACGUAGGGAAACUUACGCUAAUACCGCAUACGACCUACGGGUGAAGGCAGGGGAUCUUCGGACCUUGCGCGAUUGAAUGAGCCGAUGUCGGAUUAGCUAGUUGGCGGGGUAAAGGCCCACCAAGGCGACGAUCCGUAGCUGGUCUGAGAGGAUGAUCAGCCACACUGGAACUGAGACACGGUCCAGACUCCUACGGGAGGCAGCAGUGGGGAAUAUUGGACAAUGGGCGCAAGCCUGAUCCAGCCAUACCGCGUGGGUGAAGAAGGCCUUCGGGUUGUAAAGCCCUUUUGUUAGGAAAGAAAAGCAGCAGGUUAAUACCCCGCUGUUCUGACGGUACCCAAAGAAUAAGCACCGGCUAACUUCGUG